rnacentral:rRNA from 1 species
UACGUAGGGUCCGAGCGUUGUCCGGAAUUAUUGGGCGUAAAGGGCUCGUAGGCGGCCAACUAAGUCAGACGUGAAAUCCCCAGGCUCAACCUGGGAACUGCGUCUGAUACUGGAUGGCUUGAAUCCGGGAGAGGGAUGCAGAAUUCCUGGUGUAGCGGUGGAAUGCGCAGAUAUCAGGAGGAACACCGGUGGCGAAGGCGGGUCUCUGGGCAGUAACUGACGCUGAGGAGCGAAAGCGUGGGGAGCGAACAGG